GGACCUGUAGCUCAGAGGCAGAGCGCUGACUCCCUCCCCACUUCCUUGCCCGUGCCGCGGGCCGGCGGCGGAGGGUUACCGACUGAUAAUCCAGAGGUCGCGGGUUCGAAUCCCGCCGGGUCCA
rnacentral:tRNA from 1 species